GGGCCCGUAGCUCAAAGUGGAGGAAAAGCAAAGCUUGGCUGGAGCGUUCGGCUGAACAUCAAACGCCUUUGUGCGGCAUAGGUCGCGAGUUCGAAUCUCGCCGGGCCCACCA
rnacentral:tRNA from 1 species